rnacentral:rRNA from 1 species
UACAGAGGGUGCAAGCGUUGUUCGGAUUUACUGGGCGUAAAGGGCGUGCAGGCGGUUUGUUAAGUGCAGGGUGAAAGCUCCCGGCUCAACUGGGAGAGGUCCUUGCAUACUGGCGAACUCGAGGGAGGCAGAGGAAAGUGGAAUUCCCGGUGUAGUGGUGAUAUGCGUAGAUAUCGGGAGGAACACCUGUGGCGAAGGCGGCUUUCUGGGCCUUACCUGACGCUGAGACGCGAAAGCGUGGGGAGCGAACCGG